AUGAAUCGUUCGGACUCCAUACCUAUAAGGCGUGAUCGCUCCUUUGACAGCGUCCUGAACCGAUUGAUGCGCAUGCGUACUCAAAAUCAUGAAAGUUUUCGAGCUGCUAUGUAUAACUUUCUGAUCGCUGCAGGCAUCGCAGCGUUUGUAGCCGUUUGCUUUAUCCUGGGCCCUUUUGUUCGGCCACUACUGUGGGCAUUCUUAAUGGGUGCCGUGCUGUUUCCCUUUAAGCGCAGGCUCGCCGAGCUGCUGCACAACUGGUUCCAGCGUUUAGAGGAGCGCGACUCGAAUGUGUUGGUUUCGAUUACCCUAGCACCUCUGGAGGCCACAGAGCAUUGUGGCCGUCUGUUGAUCAGUUGGCUAUGUGAGCAUUGGCAGCUGCUGAUGGCUGGUCUGGGUGUUGCCGGCUGCAUCAAACUGUUGGUGUUGUAUGCGCCCAAAGGCUUCCUGCUGGCCAUCUGGCAUACUGUGACCUUCUCUCAUGGCCUCUUCGUGCAGGUCAUAGGAUACAUAAAUAUUUAUGUGCUUAUAACUGUAGUAGUGGCAUACCUCACCUCUGUGCAUUUCUUAUGGAAGCCAGAGAAGAGUGCGCAUUUUGUUAUUGCUGGCCAAUCCAUGUGGGUAGCAAUAGCUGGUUAUUUAUGUAGUUUUCUGGGCGCGCUACAAGUACCUGUAUUCCUGUUGGUGAUGGCCUACGUCGUUGCAUCCACUAUUUACCAUCUACAGACUAGCGAAGACACUGGUUCCUAUUUGCACCGCAUGCAGAAACUGUUUGACAAAAACGAUUUUGAGCGAUCGUUGAGUAAUUUUAGUUUUAAUCGUAAGCUGGGCGGCGAACAAACGCUGCAAUCAGACGUUGAGGAUAUUUCGUUGAGCGACACCAUCGACUCAACGGAUACGUUCGAUGCAAAGGCAACAGAUGGCGAAGAUGGCCAACAGAGCGAAACUUUCUUUAAGCUUCUCUUUUACGCCUGUGUGGCCACGUUCUUGUAUCGUAAUAUUUGGAUGUUUAUACUAGCAGCAGUGCCAAUUUUUUUGCAUUUACUCUAUACAUUUGGCGAAUACACGGGCAUUACAACAUUUGUGCAAACCAAAGUUACUGAUGUGUAUAUGGGCAUUAGGGCCUGGGCCAUUGAGCAUCAUUCAGCCGUUCUUCCACUAUGUUUGCCGGGCGUUUUGGAGCUAAACUACAAAAUCAACUCAAUUGUUCGCGAUUCACUUAAGUCUUCGGUUGAGACAGUCACAUCCAUUCUCAUGAUCAUUCUGAUGUUGCUCAUUAUUAUCUUUUUGGGCGUAUUCUUUUGUGUUAACAUAUACUCAGAGACCAUUGAGGUCGCUUAUCUCGGCAAAGAUCUAAUUAACAAGACCAUCACAGAUCGUCCUGAACUAAUUGAUAUUUUGCCUGCGAAUAUACAGGCGUCCAUUGAUGAUGCGCUCGACAAUGCGCACCAUUAUGGUCGCCGUAAGAUCGAAACAUACAUCGAUGAUUGGCUAGCGGAUGCGGACGCAGUUCACGCAGCAAAGCUAAAACAGCAAAUCCUUGAAGUUUGGGAUAGGCUCAUACAAUAUUGGAUUGAUUUCAAUAAGGCCGGUACAUCUUUUGGACCCAGGGUGCCAACAGAUGCGCUGAAGAGUACUUUUGGCGAGAUUGUCGAUAACCCUGGACAUUUUAAAGAGCUAGUUUUAGUGGCAAAACAGGGCAUCAUUGGCUGGGCGAAGAGCAACACGCAGACGAUUCUAGAGGUUGCCGAAUCACUCUGGCAUAUAAUACGCACGAAUAUAUCGGUGAUCAUGAGUGUUACUGGCGAAAUACUCUCCCUGGUGUUGUCCGGUGGACAGGCCUGCAUCGAGUUUAUAUUGGAUAUGAUUGUGUUCUUUACUGCGCUAUUCUAUUUGCUGUCGAGCAGCCAGGAGAAAUAUGCGCCAAUGCAGAUAACCAAAUACUUGGGUUACUCCAGUUCUGGCACCAAGAUAGCUGAUUCCUUGGAGAAUUCGAUCACUGUUGUGCUUGUCUCAAUGUUCAAAUGUUCGAUAUUUACCGGCCUGUUCACUUGGCUGGUUCACACCGUAUUUGGUGCACGUAUCGUGUUUCUGCCAUCAGCAGUGGCGGCUAUGCUGGCAGCUGCACCGUUUCUGGGCAGCUACUGGUGUGCUGUACCUGCCUUCUUGGAGCUUUGGUUGGCUCAGGAUCGUUUCUACGCCGGAGUGAUACUCUUUCUGCUACAAUUCUUUGUUCCCUCAUCUUUUGAAACGGCUAUAUAUGCGGACCUAAAGGGAGGCGGACACCCCUAUCUGAAUGGUCUGGCUAUAGCUGGAGGAAUGUACUGGAUUGGCUGGCAGGGUGCCAUAUUUGGACCUCUUAUGUUAUGUUUCUUUAUUGGCAUAUUUGAGGUGGCCACUUUGGCUAUGCGCUCGAACCAAGAGCCUAGGUAAGGUUUAAAUAGUUAAAAACAUCUUUAAUUUUUCGGUGUGCAUGCAAGUUUUCAAUUUUGUCGAUGGUGUGCGGCCAAAGAUCUACGCGCAGCUCCGAUGAAGAGACACGAACGACGUGAGUUACCUGUGUAGCCCGAAUGAAGAAGUUAACUACGAAUUUUUUUUAAUACUCGAACGUAAACGCUAACAAGAGCUUCGCCAAGCAGGCCAAGUGUUUGACAAUCAUUGAUAUUGGCCGAAACUAACGCACUAAUGCGCACGGUGUUUGAUUUUAAAUUUUAAAGUUGUGAAUGCGAUGUUUGUUUUACAAAUUCGUUUCUUUCGCUUUGUUUAAUUCCAUGAAUUCUAUUGUGCUUACAAACAUUUAAAUACGUCCAUAUUGCGCUUUAUUUAAAUUAGCUUUUAAUAACCCCUACCUCGAAUUCCCUGUGUAUAUAGAGAUAUGCUUUUAAAUUGCGGUUAAACCACAAACCGGUUCCAAAUGCAAGCCAAUAACAAUCAAUGACUUGGUUGGUCCAAAGUGAAGUACCGAAUUUUUUCUCGCUACUAAUGGUUAAUUAUAAACAUGUGAUUUGUUUAAAGUUUAAAUUAAAAAUUUGUUGCAAAUAAAUGUCAAUAUUUAUAUA